rnacentral:rRNA from 1 species
CCUACGGGUGGCAGCAGUGAGGAAUAUUGGUCAAUGGACGAGAGUCUGAACCAGCCAAGUAGCGUGAAGGAUGACUGCCCUAUGGGUUGUAAACCUCUUUUAUCAGGGAAGAAUAAAUGCUACGUGUAGCAUGAUGCCUGUACCUUAUGAAUAAGCAUCGGCUAACUCCGUGCCAGCAGCCGCGUUAAUACGGAGGGUGCGAGCGUUCUUCGGAAUUACUGGGCGUAAAGCGCUCGUAGGCGGUAUGUCAAGUCAAGGGUGAAAUCCCCGCGGUCAACGUGGGAACUGCCUUUGAAACUGGCAAACUGGAGUGUGUGAGAGGAUAGUGGAAUGCCAGGUGUAGGAGUGAAAUGCGUAGAUAUCUGGAGGAACAUCAGUGGCGAAGGCGACUAUCUGGCACAUAACUGACGCUGAGGAGCGAAAGCGUGGGUAGCAAACAGGAUUAGAUACCCUGGUAGUC